GGAUUCAGUUAUGGCUCAGAUUGAACAUGGCAGGAUGCUUUACACAUGCAAGUCGAACGGCAGCACGGACUUCGGUCUGGUGGCGAGUGGCGAACGGGUGAGUAAUGUAUCGGAACGUGCCUAGUAGCGGGGAUAACUACGCGAAAGCGUAGCCUGGCACAUACGCCCUUCGGGGAAAAGCGGGGGACCUUCGGGCCUCGCACUAUUAGAGCGGCCGAUAUCGGAUUAGCUAGUUGGUGGAGGUAACGGCUCACCAAGGCGACGAUCCGUAGCUGGUUUGAAGGACGACCAGCCACACUGGGACACGGCCCAGACCUACGGAAGCGGCAGUGGGAAUUUUUGGACAAUGGAAACCUGAUCCAGCCAUCGCGUGUGCGAUGAAGGCCUUCGGGUUGUAAAGCACUUUUGGCAGGAAAGAAACGGCACGGGAUAAUACCCCGUGCAACUGACAGUACCUGCAGAAUAAGCACCGGCUAACUACGUGCCAGCAGCCGCGGUAAUACGUAGGGUGCAAGCGUUAAUCGGAAUUACUGGGCGUAAAGCGUGCGCAGGCGGUUCGGAAAGAAAGAUGUGAAAUCCCAGAGCUUAACUUUGGAACUGCAUUUUUAACUACCGAGCUAGAGUGUGUCAGAGGGAGGUGGAAUUCCGCGUGUAGCAGUGAAAUGCGUAGAUAUGCGGAGGAACACCGAUGGCGAAGGCAGCCUCCUGGGAUAACACUGACGCUCAUGCACGAAAGCGUGGGGAGCAAACAGGAUUAGAUACCCUGGUAGUCCACGCCCUAAACGAUGUCAACUAGCUGUUGGGGCCUUCGGGCCUUGGUAGCGCAGCUAACACGUGAGAUUGACCGCCUGGGAGAGUACGGUCGCAAGAUUAAAACUCAAAGGAAUUGACGGGGACCCGCACAAGCGGUGGAUGAUGGAUUAAUUCGAUGCAACGCGAAAAACCUUACCUACCCUUGACAUGUCUGGAAUCCCGAAGAGAUUUGGGAGUGCUCGCAAGAGAACCGGAACACAGGUGCUGCAUGGCUGUCGUCAGCUCGUGUCGUGAGAUGUUGGGUUAAGUCCCGCAACGAGCGCAACCCGCGCCAUUGGUUGCUACAGAAAGGGCACUCUAAUGAGACUGCCGGUGAUACUUCGGAGGAAGGUGGGGAUGACGUCAAGUCCUCAUGGCCCUUAUGGGUAGGGCUUCACACGUCAUACAAUGGUCGGGACAGAGGGUCGCCAACCCGCGAGGGGGGCCAAUCCCAGAAACCCGAUCGUAGUCGGAUCGCAGUCUGCAGCUCGACUGCGUGAAGUCGGAAUCGCUAGUAAUCGCGGAUCAGCAUGUCGCGGUGAAUACGUUCCCGGGUCUUGUACACACCGCCCGUCACACCAUGGGAGUGGGUUUUUACCAGAAGUAGUUAGCCUAACCGUAAGGAGGCGAUUACCACGGUAGGAUUCGCUGGGGUGGAAGUCGUAACAAGGUAG
rnacentral:rRNA from 1 species